rnacentral:rRNA from 1 species
CACUUUGUGGCGAAGUUAACGCGAUAAGUCGACCGCCUGGGGAGUACGGCCGCAAGGUUAAAACUCAAAUGAAUUGACGGGGGCCCGCACAAGCGGUGGAGCAUGUGGUUUAAUUCGAUGCAACGCGAAGAACCUUACCUACUCUUGACAUCCUGCGAACUUGUGAGAGAUCACUUGGUGCCUUCGGGAACGCAGAGACAGGUGCUGCAUGGCUCAGAUCGACACGCUGGCGUGCAGUGCCUAACACAUUGCGUUAAGUCCAGCGGUAACGAGCGCAACCCUUGCUACCCGAUUUGACGAGCGGCGGAAUGGCGUGAGUAACUGCAUAAGGAGAUCUGCCCGUGACAAACCGGAGGAUAACCUGGGGAAGACCUCAAGCUAAUACCGCAUACGCCCUUACGGGAGAAAGGGGGCUACACACGCUCCCGCUACAGGAUGAGCCGAUGUACAAAGGAUUAGCGAGCUCGCGAGAGUAAAGGCUAAUCCAAGGCGAAAAGCCGUAGUCUCAGUCCGAGAUCGGAUGAUCAGCAACAUCGGGACUCCGAGACACGGCCCGAACUCGCUAGUAAUCGGGAAGCAGAAUGUCACGGUGAAUACGUUCCACAAUGGGCCUUGUACACACCGCCCGAUCACAGCCAUGCCGAGUGUGACUGCACCAGAAGGCCCUCGGGUUAGCUAAAGCACUUUCAGCGAGGAAGCGAUCACCCACGGUAGUGGUUAAUGACCCAUGAGGAGAAGACAUAACUCGCAGAAGGUAACCACCGGCUAACUCCGUGCCAGCAGCCGCGGUAAUACGGAGGGUGCAAGCGUUAAUCGGAAUUACUGGGCGUAAAGCGCGCGUAGGUGGCUUGAUAAGCCGGUUGUGAAAGCCCCGGGCUCAACCUGGGAACGGCAUCCGGAACUGUCAAGCUAGAGUGCAGGAGAGGAAGGUAGAAUUCCCGGUGUAGCGGUGAAAUGCGUAGAGAUCGGGAGGAAUACCAGUGGCGAAGGCGGCCUUCUGGACUGACACUGACACUGAGGUGCGAAAGCGUGGGUAGCAAACAGGAUUAGAUACCCUGGUAGUCCACGCGCGACUCUCACCAGCCGUUGGGUGCCU